ensembl:lncRNA
GUUACUGUUUAUGAGGAACCAUACAUGCUCAAAGUGUGCAAAAGCAUUUGAAGUCUGAGAAUAAGGUCAGCAUGACCCUGGCGUUGACCCCUGCGGCCGUGUGCCAGUGCUUCACGCUCGUGUCGCUGUGCACGUCUAUCGCCGAUCCCAACUGGAUCCAGGUCCAGAACUGCUCCGAUUCGAACAGCAAUCUCAUCUACGGCGUGGCCUUCACUCUGCACGCGUAUCAGAAUCUCACAGACACAGGUCCGUUGGGUGGGCUGCACGGAUGGGGGAUGUGGCUGCUGUACUCUCUAGCGGCUCUCUGCUACAGCGCCGUCCUGUUUUCCAGUUCCUCUUUCCUGCUGGAUUUCCUCACAGCAGCUGUCACUCACUCAAAGCUGGUCACGUUACUGCACGUCUCCACAGCGUUCUUCUGCGUGGCGGUUGUGGGUGUGUGUGCGGCCUGCAUGAGUGUGAUUGAACACAACCUGCAGCGAGGGAAGACUGAAAGCCGCCCGGCGCUCUGCAUGUCUGCAGGAGAAAGCUUUUACAUCGAGAUCGUGGGCCUGCUCUUCUCCUUAAUAGCGUGCACUUUGGCCCUCAAGGGUCGUCCUGAACCCAUCAGGCCCUGUGACUACCUGAGCGUGGAAGGAGUGGACAGUGACACGGAGCCUUUGAUUGGUGGAGCUGCGAGGCAGGAGUAAACAGACAGAGUUAUGCUCUUUAUUUUAAUGGCAGAACAUCGAGAGCAAUGCUGAACAAGAGCUAAUGUGAGAUCAGAUGAUCUCAGGAAUUUAAGAAUCGGCUCCUUCCGGUUCAUGAGUGUGAAUUUGAAUUGAAUUGAACACAGCAUACAGGAUCUCAGAAGUUAUGAACAGUAACAUUAAUAGAACGUUAGUUCAAAGUUAUUUAGUCUUUAAUAACGUUCUCAAAACAUUAGCGCAGAAACAUUAUUCAUACAUCAUUUACUGAAAUGUUUGCCUUGGACAUUCAGCCAACGUUUUUUAAAUGUUGCCGCUUGUUUCAAAACAUUCCGAGAACAUUCAAAAGUAACACUCUUUGCAAAAAUGAUUAAAAUGGAAUGUUACAAAAUGACUUCAAAAGUUUAAAAACUGGGCAUUUGAAGUGUUCAGAAAGAACGUUUUCAUAACUUAAUUAAAACGUUAGUGAAAUGUUGGCUGGGAUGUAGAAUUGACAGGAUUUAAUUAUUUAAUUAAAUUACAAUUCAAAGAAAUUCAACAAUCACACAAAAGUGAAAACAAGGGUUUCGAUAAAAUAUUAAUUAUGUCAUUAAUUUGGACUACUUUAGGUGCUAAUAUGUAGAGCACAUUUUUUUCUAAAUUGACUUGACAUUUUUCUCUAAUAUUUGGCUCUAUUUUUAGCCUCGGGUAAACUGGAGCAUUCUGGGAAAUGAAGUCUUCUACUGUAAUGAUUAAGUAAAUCAAAUUUUACUUCACAUGAGUAAUGAAUUAAAUAAAGACAUUUUUAAGUGUGACGUAAGUAACA